rnacentral:lncRNA from 1 species
GUAUUAGUGUCUAUGUGUGUGAUUCGUUAAAAAAAUGACUUCUUGGAUUGAACGUCUAGAGAGGCCAGGCUCCGUGGGAGAAAAGAUCAGGAUGCCCGCAUACACGGAGCCAAUGGGGCUAGGGGGCUCCAACCGUUUACCGCUGCUGGAACAGUGGAGUUUUUAGUGUUUUUUUUUCUAAUUUUAAACACAAAUAUAUAAGAUAGGAUGAGCUGAGAUAUUUUUUAUAAUAUAUUUUUUGAAUUUUAUUCUCGAUUGAUGUUUUCAAUAUAAAACUACUUCGAGCUAUUAUGUUUUUUAUUUUGAGGGAUUAUAAUAAUGCUAAGUCGAUGUAGCACUUUUGUUCAGCUUUAUUUAUUUUUUUUAUGGCUUUGUCUCUGGAUGCCCGCACUUACUAAAUAGUAUAGUUAUAUUAAUCCUUUUUUACAAGGCCUUUAUUUAAAAAAAAACACUUGGUAUAAGAUUCCUAUGUGCUGCCCGAACGAGAGACCACGGUUUCGGUCAUCAUGACUUUUAUUUCCUACCCUACUAGGCUACUACCAUCCGCUGCUUUCGCAAGAAAAGGCUCUUUCAAAGUUCAAAUUUGGCGUCCGAUGGUCUAGCUUGUACCAUAGAACAUUAAGACCUUGUUUAGUUUCCAAAAUUUCUUAAAUUUUUUUUAAAAUUUUCUAUCACAUCGAAUCUUUGAAUGCAUGUAUAAAAUGUUAAAUAUAGAUAAAACAAAUAACUAAUUGCAUAGUUUAUCUGUAAUUUGUGAGACGAAUCUUUUAAACCUAUUUAGUCCAUAAUUAAAUAAUAAUUGUCAAAUACAAACGAAAAUACUACAGUAGCCAAACCCAAAUUUGUCACCACUAAAUAAGGCGUCC